rnacentral:tRNA from 3 species
GCGAGAGUGGCGGAACUGGCAGACGCGCAGGAUUUAGGUUCCUGUGGGAAACCGUGGGGGUUCGAGUCCCCCCUCUCGCACCA